CAGCUACUCCCUCCGUCCGGAAAUACUUGUCAUCAAAAUGGACAAAAAGGGAUGUAUCUAGAACUAAAAUACAUCUAGAUACAUCCACUUUUAUUCAUUUUGAUGACAAGUAUUUCCGGACGGAGGGAGUACGUA
rnacentral:pre_miRNA from 1 species